rnacentral:RNase_P_RNA from 1 species
UCGGGCGGCUGGGCGAUCGCUGGCAGGCCAUUCCUUCAAGGAGGGGUGGUUGCUGGAGGAAAGUCCGGGCUCCACGUAGGCAAGGCGGCGGAUAACGUCCGCCCGGGGAUGCGGGCAACCGGAAACCCGAGGGAUAGCGCCACAGAAAGCAAACCGCCCGGGACUUGUCCCGGGUAAGGGUGAAAGGGUGGGGUAAGAGCCCACCGCGUUCCUGGUGACAGGGAUGGCAAGGCAAGCCCCGCCUGGAGCA